UACAGAGGGUGCAAGCGUUGUUCGGAAUUAUUGGGCGUAAAGCGCGUGUAGGCGGCUUUGCAAGUCGGAUGUGAAAUCCCUCGGCUCAACCGAGGACGUGCAUCCGAAACUGGCGGGCUCGAGUACUGAAGAGGGUCGCGGAAUUCCCGGUGUAGAGGUGAAAUUCGUAGAUAUCGGGAGGAACACCAGUGGCGAAGGCGGCGACCUGGGCAGAUACUGACGCUGAGGUGCGAAAGCGUGGGAGCAAACAGG
rnacentral:rRNA from 1 species